rnacentral:rRNA from 1 species
AACGCUAGCUACAGGCUUAACACAUGCAAGUCGAGGGGCAGCAUGGUCUUAGCUUGCUAAGGCUGAUGGCGACCGGCGCACGGGUGAGUAACACGUAUCCAACCUGCCGUCUACUCUUGGCCAGCCUUCUGAAAGGAAGAUUAAUCCAGGAUGGCAUCAUGAGUUCACAUGUCCGCAUGAUUAAAGGUAUUUUCCGGUAGACGAUGGGGAUGCGUUCCAUUAGAUAGUAGGCGGGGUAACGGCCCACCUAGUCUUCGAUGGAUAGGGGUUCUGAGAGGAAGGUCCCCCACAUUGGAACUGAGACACGGUCCAGACUCCUACGGGAGGCAGCAGUGAGGAAUAUUGGUCAAUGGGCGAGAGCCUGAACCAGCCAAGUCGCGUGAAGGAAGAAGGAUCUAUGGUUCGUAAACUUCUUUUGCAGGGGAAUAAAGUGCAGGACGUGUCCUGUUUUGUAUGUACCCUGAGAAUAAGGAUCGGCUAACUCCGUGCCAGCAGCCGCGGUAAUACGGAGGAUCCGAGCGUUAUCCGGAUUUAUUGGGUUUAAAGGGAGCGUAGGCCGGAGAUUAAGCGUGUUGUGAAAUGUAGAUGCUCAACAUCUGCACUGCAGCGCGAACUGGUUUCCUUGAGUACGCAUAAAGUGGGCGGAAUUCGUGGUGUAGCGGUGAAAUGCUUAGAUAUCACGAAGAACUCCGAUUG